AAAGAUAAAUGUUGGGAAGAGGAAUGAACAUAUCCCAAGCAGCAUUUAUGACCCAACAGCUGAAGAAGAGGAGGGGACAUGGAAAAACGCUUGUGGCCUGGCCUCUGCCUUCUUGUGGAAUCACAUAUAAGAUUUCUAGCUUGGCGAACUCCUUGAGGACAUGGGCUUUGUUUUCUGUUCCAUUUUACCCUCCACUGUGCCUUCGCAGGCUUUCCCAUUGAGUGUUUUCAAUGGGAAAUGUCUAACUGCUCUGUGGGUGUACACCACGGCCAGUUGCUAAUUUUGGAACACUUGUGAAUCCUGGGCCCAGAGUCAUGACCAAUACUGUUGCCUCAUUUUACCUUCUGAAAUGAUGGAGGAAGUUCUGCUGAGGAUGGGGUCAGGGUAACAGCAGACUUCUGAAUAACUCUGCACCCCCAGAAACCUGCAAAGGACACAGGCCCUCUUGGUGGUCUCCUCCUGGAUGCCUUGCUUUCUCCUGGAAGAGUCCUCCCUUCCACCCCGGAUAUCACUGUGAACCUGAUUCCCCAGGAUCAACCAUCUGAGCAGAUACCUUGGAAUGUCCCCAGAUUUCAGAGCCUCGGACCAGCAGCAACACACUCUGAAGUAGGUCUCAGAAGACAAAAAGCUGAAAUCAACUCAUGCUUCCUGCUACACAGAAUCCACUGAGAGGAAAAGGAAACUUCACCGAAACUUCAGAAAGCUACAGAAAUGACAUCCAUUUUCACAAUCCCAGAAGGAAAGAUGCAUCUGAAGGGAAUAAAAACAGAGCAAUGGAAGAGUAUUUGUUAAAAUAAAUGGCUUUGACAGGGCAUUUUCUCUAAAGGUCUCCUUUGCCUCAAAUAGUACUCCUGCCUUCAGUCCAUCUUGCAUGCCACCCAGCUGUGGGCAUCCUGGCAGUUGCUGCCAUGUCCUUGCCUAAAAGCCUCCACCCCCAACCAACCCACC
rnacentral:lncRNA from 1 species